rnacentral:tRNA from 1 species
GCUCGCGUAGCUCAGUUGGUUAGAGCUUCGUACUAAUACACGACCCGACGGUCCUGUCUUGGUGAUGCGGAGGCCGCAGGUUCGAGCCCUGCCGUGAGCA